GACGAACGCUGGCGGCGUGCUUAAAACAUGCAAGUCGAACGGAAAGGCCCUGCUUUUGUGGGGUGCUCGAGUGGCGAACGGGUGAGUAACACGUGUGUAACCUGCCCUUGACUUUGGGAUAACUUUAGGAAACUGGGGCUAAUACCGGAUAGGAGCUCCUGCUGCAUGGUGGGGGUUGGAAAGUUUCGGCGGUUGGGGAUGGACUCGCGGCAUAUCAGCUUGUUGGUGGGGUAGUGGCUUACCAAGGCUUUGACGGGUAGCCGGCCUGGGCGGGUGACCGGCCACAUUGGGACUGAGGUACGGCCCAGACUCCUACCGGAGGCAGCAGGGGGGAAUAUUGCACAAUGGGCCGACGCCUGAUGCAGAAACGCCGCGUGCGGGAUGACGUGCUUCGAGUUGUAAACCGCUUUCGCCUGUGACGAGGCGUGAGUGACGGUACUGGGUAAAGAAGCACCGGCUAACUACGUG
rnacentral:rRNA from 1 species